ACCCCUUCCCUUACUA
rnacentral:tRNA from 1 species